UUACUUACCUGGCAGGGGAAAUGCUCUUCUUUUCAGCCUUGAAUAACUUGGUGUAGGUAGAUGGUGAAGGCCUGUCCUUUGCACUGCUGGCAGGCUGACCCCUGUGAGGGUCUACAAAUGCCUCCAAAUGCAAAGGUCUUGGCUGCGUGAUUUGUAGCAAUGGGGGACUGCUCUCGGGCUUUCCCUCU
rnacentral:snRNA from 14 species